AGGUAAUAGAUACCCGGUAGUCCUGGCGGUAAACGGUGCACGUUUGGUGUGGGAGGAUCCGACCCCUUCCGCGCCGGAGCUAAACGCGUUAAAAAACGUGCCGCCUGGGGAGUACGGUCGCAAGAUUAAAACUCAAAGAAAUUGACGGGGGCCCGCACAAGCGGUGGAGUAUGUGGCUUAAUUCGAUGCAAACGCGAAGAACCUUACCUGGCCUUGACAUGCAUUGCUAAGCUGGUGAAAGCCAGUGAGUGUCGAAAGACACACCUUGCACAGGUGCUGCAUGGCUGUCGUCAGCUCGUGUCGUGAGAUGUUGGGUUAAAGUCCCGCAACGAGCGCAACCCCUGUGAACUGUUGCCACGUCCUUGAUUGGACAACACUCUGUUCAGACUGCCCUGUGAAACGGGGAGGAAGGUGGGGACGACGUCAAGUCAGUAUGGCCCUUACGGCCAGGGCUGCACACGUACUACAAUGCCCAGUACAGAACGAUCCGAGACCGCGAGGUGGAGGAAAUCCAGU
rnacentral:rRNA from 1 species